UACGAAGGGGGCUAGCGUUGCUCGGAAUUCCUGGGCGUAAAGGGCGCGUAGGCGGCCUUCUAAGUCGAACGUGAAAUCCCCGGGCUCAACCCGGGAACUGCGUCCGAUACUGGAAGGCUUGAAUCCGGGAGAGGGAUGCGGAAUUCCAGGUGUAGCGGUGAAAUGCGUAGAUAUCUGGAGGAACACCGGUGGCGAAGGCGGCAUCCUGGACCGGCAUUGACGCUGAGGCGCGAAAGCCAGGGGAGCAAACGGG
rnacentral:rRNA from 1 species